UGGGGGAUGAAGGCCUUCGGGUUGUAAACCCCUUUCAGGAGGGAAGAAAAUGACGGUACCUCCAGAAGAAGCCCCGGCCAACUACGUGCCAGCAGCCGCGGUAAUACGUAGGGGGCGAGCGUUGUCCGGAAUUAUUGGGCGUAAAGAGCUCGUAGGCGGCUCAGCAAGUCGGCUGUGAAAUCCCGAGGCUCGACCUCGGAACUGCAGUCGAUACUGCUGUGGCUAGAGUCUGGUAGAGGAGAGUGGAAUUCCCGGUGUAGCGGUGAAAUGCGCAGAUAUCGGGAGGAACACCAGUAGCGAAGGCGGCUCUCUGGGCCAGUACUGACGCUGAGGAGCGAAAGCGUGGGGAGCAAACAGGAUUAGAUACCCUGGUAGUCCACGCCGUAAACGU
rnacentral:rRNA from 1 species